CGAAUGCUGACAUAAGUAACGAUAAAGCGGGUGAAAAGCCCGCUCGCCGGAAGACCAAGGGUUCCUGUCCAACGUUAAUCGGGGCAGGGUGAGUCGACCCCUAAGGCGAGGCCGAAAGGCGUAGUCGAUGGGAAACAGGUUAAUAUUCCUGUACUUGGUGUUACUGCGAAGGGGGGACGGAGAAGGCUAUGUUGGCCGGGCGACGGUUGUCCCGGUUUAAGCGUGUAGGCUGGUUUUCCAGGCAAAUCCGGAAAAUUAAGGCUGAGGCGUGAUGACGAGGCACUACGGUGCUGAAGCAACAAAUGCCCUGCUUCCAGGAAAAGCCUCUAAGCAUCAGGUAACAUCAAAUCGUACCCCAAACCGACACAGGUGGUCAGGUAGAGAAUACCAAGGCGCUUGAGAGAACUCGGGUGAAGGAACUAGGCAAAAUGGUGCCGUAACUUCGGGAGAAGGCACGCUGAUAUGUAGGUGAAGUCCCUCGCGGAUGGAGCUGAAAUCAGUCGAAGAUACCAGCUGGCUGCAACUGUUUAUUAAAAACACAGCACUGUGCAAACACGAAAGUGGACGUAUACGGUGUGACGCCUGCCCGGUGCCGGAAGGUUAAUUGAUGGGGUCAGCGCAAGCGAAGCUCUUGAUCGAAGCCCCGGUAAACGGCGGCCGUAACUAUAACGGUCCUAAGGUAGCGAAAUUCCUUGUCGGGUAAGUUCCGACCUGCACGAAUGGCGUAAUGAUGGCCAGGCUGUCUCCACCCGAGACUCAGUGAAAUUGAACUCGCUGUGAAGAUGCAGUGUACCCGCGGCAAGACGGAAAGACCCCGUGAACCUUUACUAUAGCUUGACACUGAACAUUGAGCCUUGAUGUGUAGGAUAGGUGGGAGGCUUUGAAGUGUGGACGCCAGUCUGCAUGGAGCCGACCUUGAAAUACCACCCUUUAAUGUUUGAUGUUCUAACGUUGACCCGUAAUCCGGGUUGCGGACAGUGUCUGGUGGGUAGUUUGACUGGGGCGGUCUCCUCCUAAAGAGUAACGGAGGAGCACGAAGGUUGGCUAAUCCUGGUCGGACAUCAGGAGGUUAGUGCAAUGGCAUAAGCCAGCUUGACUGCGAGCGUGACGGCGCGAGCAGGUGCGAAAGCAGGUCAUAGUGAUCCGGUGGUUCUGAAUGGAAGGGCCAUCGCUCAACGGAUAAAAGGUACUCCGGGGAUAACAGGCUGAUACCGCCCAAGAGUUCAUAUCGACGGCGGUGUUUGGCACCUCGAUGUCGGCUCAUCACAUCCUGGGGCUGAAGUAGGUCCCAAGGGUAUGGCUGUUCGCCAUUUAAAGUGGUACGCGAGCUGGGUUUAGAACGUCGUGAGACAGUUCGGUCCCUA
rnacentral:rRNA from 1 species